rnacentral:rRNA from 1 species
AGAGUUUGAUCAUGGCUCAGAACGAACGCUGGCGGCGUGCUUAACACAUGCAAGUCGCGUGCGCAGUUGCCGUAGCAAUACGGUGAUGGGCGCACGGCGCACGGGUGCGUAACACGUGGGCAAUCUACCCUUUGAUGGGGAAUAACCCGCCGAAAGGCGGGCUAAUUCCGCAUAAGAUUCCCGGAACUUCGGUUCUGGGAUUGAAAGCAGCAAUGCGUCGAAGGAGGAGCCCGCGCCCGAUUAGCUAGUUGGUGAGGUAACGGCUCACCAAGGCUAUGAUCGGUAGCUGGUCUGAGAGGAUGAUCAGCCACACUGGAACUGAGACACGGUCCAGACUCCUACGGGAGGCAGCAGUGGGGAAUCUUGCACAAUGGGCGAAAGCCUGAUGCAGCGACGCCGCGUGGGGGAUGAAGCAUUUCGGUGUGUAAACCCCUUUCGACUGGGACGAAUGCCUCGCAAGAGGAGUGACGGUACCAGUAGAAGAAGCCCCGGCUAACUACGUGCCAGCAGCCGCGGUAAGACGUAGGGGGCCAGCGUUGUUUCGGAAUUACUGGGUGUAAAGGGUUCGUAGGCGGUGCGGCAAGUUGGGAGUGAAAUCUCUGGGCUCAACCCAGAGGCUGCUUCCAAAACUGCUGUGCUCGAGUGUGAGAGAGGCGCGUGGAAUUGCAGGUAGCGGUGAAAUGCGUAGAUAUCUGCAGGAACACCCGUGGCGAAAGCGGCGCGCUGGAUCACUACUGACGCUGAGGAACGAAAGCUAGGGGAGCAAACAGGAUUAGAUACCCCCGUAGUCC